GAUGAACGCUGGCGGCGUGCCUAAUACAUGCAAGUCGAGCGAACAGACGAGGAGCUUGCUCCUCUGACGUUAGCGGCGGACGGGUGAGUAACACGUGGAUAACCUACCUAUAAGACUGGGAUAACUUCGGGAAACCGGAGCUAAUACCGGAUAAUAUAUUGAACCGCAUGGUUCAAUAGUGAAAGACGGUUUUGCUGUCACUUAUAGAUGGAUCCGCGCCGCAUUAGCUAGUUGGUAAGGUAACGGCUUACCAAGGCGACGAUGCGUAGCCGACCUGAGAGGGUGAGCGACAACAAUGGAGAGGAGACAGGACACAGACUCCAAGGGGGGGAAGAGGGGGGAAUGCGCAGGAAAGGGGCAAAGCAGGGAAGAAGAAAGGAGGGGGGAGGAAGAAGGGUUUAGGGAACGAAAAACGGUUUUAUGGGGGAAAAAAAAAGGUGAAAGAAAAAAGGCAGGUUUGGAGGGAAAAAAAGAAAAAGACCACGACAAACACGGGC
rnacentral:rRNA from 1 species